UACGAAGGGGGGCUAGCGUUGUUCGGAUUUACUGGGCGUAAAGCGCACGUAGGCGGAUCGUUAAGUCGGGGGGUGAAAUCCUGGAGCUCAACUCCAGAACUGCCUUCGAUACUGGCGAUCUCGAGUCCGGAAGAGGUGAGUGGAACUCCUAGUGUAGAGGUGGAAUUCGUAGAUAUUAGGAAGAACACCAGUGGCGAAGGCGGCUCACUGGUCCGGUACUGACGCUGAGGUGCGAAAGCGUGGGGAGCAAACAGG
rnacentral:rRNA from 1 species